ACUCCUCUUGGAGCCACAGUGGGGAAUCUUCCGCAAUGGACGAAAGUCUGACGGAGCAACGCCGCGUGAGUGAAGAAGGUUUUCGGAUCGUAAAACUCUGUUUUCAGGGACGAAUGUGCGCAGUGUAAAUAAUGCUGUGUAAUGACGGUACCUGAGUAGAAAGCCACGGCUAACUACGUGCCAGCAGCCGCGGUAAUACGUAGGUGGCAAGCGUUGUCCGGAAUUAUUGGGCGUAAAGCGCGCGCAGGUGGGAUAUUAAGUCUGGUGUUAAA
rnacentral:rRNA from 1 species